AUGAGUCGUCAUGAUGGCAUCUACAUCCGUGAUGGCAAGUUCUACCUUGGAGAUCCUGGCUAUGCAUGUCAUCCAUGCGUUCUUCCACCCUUCAGAAAAACUAGGUACCGUCUGGACGAGUUUGCUGGUAAGAACUAUCCUAGGACUCCUCGGGAACUAUUCAAUCUCAGACAGUUCAACCUUAGAGUGACUAUUGAGUGGGCCUUUGGAGCUCUGAAGAGCUUGUUUAAGAUCCUGGAUCAGAAGCCAUUCCACCCUUACCCUACCCAGGUGAAGCUUGUUCUUGCAUGUUGCAUCAUUCCCAAUUGGAUCCUGCGAUGGGGAGUUGAUGAAUUUGUGGCGGGGGAGGAAGAUAUGACUCCUGGUGAGGUGAUUAGCUCCCACCAUGGUGUGGAGGCGUUCGACAACAAAGCGUGGAAGAACAAAAGGUUGGAGUGGGCUCAAGCAAUG
rnacentral:rRNA from 1 species